rnacentral:rRNA from 1 species
GAGUUAUCUGAACCUUCGGGGAACGAUAACGGCGUCCAGCGGCGGACGGGUGAGUAAUGCCUAGGAAAUUGCCCUGAUGUGGGGGAUAACCAUUGGAAACGAUGGCUAAUACCGCAUGAUGCCUACGGGCCAAAGAGGGGGACCUUCGGGCCUCUCGCGUCAGGAUAUGCCUAGGUGGGAUUAGCUAGUUGGUGAGGUAAGGGCUCACCAAGGCGACGAUCCCUAGCUGGUCUGAGAGGAUGAUCAGCCACACUGGAACUGAGACACGGUCCAGACUCCUACGGGAGGCAGCAGUGGGGAAUAUUGCACAAUGGGCGCAAGCCUGAUGCAGCCAUGCCGCGUGUGUGAAGAAGGCCUUCGGGUUGUAAAGCACUUUCAGUCGUGAGGAAGGUAGUGUAGUUAAUAGCUGCAUUAUUUGACGUUAGCGACAGAAGAAGCACCGGCUAACUCCGUGCCAGCAGCCGCGGUAAUACGGAGGGUGCGAGCGUUAAUCGGAAUUACUGGGCGUAAAGCGCAUGCAGGUGGUUUGUUAAGUCAGAUGUGAAAGCCCGGGGCUCAACCUCGGAAUUGCAUUUGAAACUGGCAGACUAGAGUACUGUAGAGGGGGGUAGAAUUUCAGGUGUAGCGGUGAAAUGCGUAGAGAUCUGAAGGAAUACCGGUGGCGAAGGCGGCCCCCUGGACAGAUACUGACACUCAGAUGCGAAAGCGUGGGGAGCAAACAGGAUUAGAUACCCUGGUAGUCCACGCCGUAAACGAUGUCUACUUGGAGGUUGUGGCCUUGAGCCGUGGCUUUCGGAGCUAACGCGUUAAGUAGACCGCCUGGGGAGUACGGUCGCAAGAUUAAAACUCAAAUGAAUUGACGGGGGCCCGCACAAGCGGUGGAGCAUGUGGUUUAAUUCGAUGCAACGCGAAGAACCUUACCUACUCUUGACAUCCAGAGAACUUUCCAGAGAUGGAUUGGUGCCUUCGGGAACUCUGAGACAGGUGCUGCAUGGCUGUCGUCAGCUCGUGUUGUGAAAUGUUGGGUUAAGUCCCGCAACGAGCGCAACCCUUAUCCUUGUUUGCCAGCGAGUAAUGUCGGGAACUCCAGGGAGACUGCCGGUGAUAAACCGGAGGAAGGUGGGGACGACGUCAAGUCAUCAUGGCCCUUACGAGUAGGGCUACACACGUGCUACAAUGGCGCAUACAGAGGGCGGCCAACUUGCGAAAGUGAGCGAAUCCCAAAAAGUGCGUCGUAGUCCGGAUUGGAGUCUGCAACUCGACUCCAUGAAGUCGGAAUCGCUAGUAAUCGUGGAUCAGAAUGCCACGGUGAAUACGUUCCCGGGCCUUGUACACACCGCCCGUCACACCAUGGGAGUGGGCUGCAAAAGAAGUAGGUAGUUUAACCUUCGGGGGGACG